UACGUAGGGUGCAAGCGUUGUCCGGAAUUAUUGGGCGUAAAGAGCUUGUAGGCGGUUUGUCGCGUCUGCUGUGAAAUUUCGGGGCUCAACCCCGAACUUGCAGUGGGUACGGGCAGACUAGAGUGUGGUAGGGGAGACUGGAAUUCCUGGUGUAGCGGUGAAAUGCGCAGAUAUCAGGAGGAACACCGAUGGCGAAGGCAGGUCUCUGGGCCACUACUGACGCUGAGAAGUGAAAGCAUGGGGAGCGAACAGG
rnacentral:rRNA from 1 species